rnacentral:rRNA from 1 species
UACGUAGGCAGCGAGCGUUUGUUCGGAAUUACUGGGCGUAAAGAGUGUGUAGGCGGUGCUCUAAGUUCGGUGUGAAAUCUCCUGCUCAACUGGGAGGGUGCGCCGGAAACUGGAGUGCUUGAGCGUGGGAGAGGAAAGCGGAAUUCCUGGUGUAGCGGUGAAAUGCGUAGAUAUCAGGAGGAACACCUGUGGUGUAGACGGCUUUCUGGACCAUAGCUGACGCUGAGACACGAAAGCGUGGGUAGCAAACAGG